AUUGAACGCUGGCGGCAUGCUUUACACAUGCCAGUCGAACGGCAGCGCGGGCUUCGGCCUGGCGGCGAGUGGCGAACGGGUGAGUAAUACAUCGGAACGUGCCCAGUAGUGGGGGAUAGCUCGGCGAAAGCCGGAUUAAUACCGCAUACGACCUGAGGGUGAAAGCGGGGGAUCUUCGGACCUCGCGCUAUUGGAGCGGCCGAUGGCAGAUUAGCUAGUUGGUGGGGUAAAGGCCUACCAAGGCGACGAUCUGUGGCUGGUCUGAGAGGACGACCAGCCACACUGGGACUGAGACACGGCCCAGACUCCUACGGGAGGCAGCAGUGGGGAAUUUUGGACAAUGGGCGAAAGCCUGAUCCAGCAAUGCCGCGUGUGUGAUGAAGGCCUUCGGGUUGUAAAGCACUUUUGGCGGGAACGAAAAGGACUGUGCCAAUACCACGGUUCGAUGACGGUACCCGCAGAAUAAGCACCGGCUAACUACGUG
rnacentral:rRNA from 1 species